rnacentral:lncRNA from 1 species
GCAGGCCUGAGUUCUAUAUUGCCAUGUGUGUCAAUGUAGAAUAAGGGUUAAGAUGAAAUGAGAAAGUAAUAGGAGAUGACGACUAGGGAGAUGGUCCCGUGCUCUGGCAAACAUGUUUGAGAUUCUUUGUCCCUCUGACACAGCUCAGCAGGGUGACUGUACAGGAUGAAGUGAAAGUCGUAUUCAGAGAGGGUGGGUUUCCUGUGGGUGUCCACAAACCAUGACGUGAAGACUGUGGGAGUAAAGGGAAAUGAUAAGUGGUUUGAAAGUCCUAAAGGGCAAGAGGUGAUGUGUGCGUUUCCAAGGGCAGAGAAAUGGCUGGUUACACAAGCUUCUGAUAAGAAAGUUCACAAGAACACGUCUAUCCUGUUCCUGCACAGGGGCAGCUCAGGAAUGUCAGAAGAGCCAUUCUUGGCUCCUUGAGUAUUCUUAUUUGGGAAUGCAAUAGAAUUGUGAUGAGAAAGCCUCGCUAAACUGUAAGACUAUUCAAGGUUAGGAGACAUUGCCUGGAAAGUUAGUGUCCCAGAAAGGAGAAACAAGCUAUGGAGGAAAGAUAGAAAGUCAGCAAAGCAAACUGAGAAGCGGACAUGAGGAAAUUCAGCAUCAGAAAUCCUUAAGGAGCAGGACAUGGCUUCCAGCACCCAGCACUGCUUUGAAGUCAAGAAAUGGAGACAGAACCCAGCAAUGGACUUAACAGCAC